UAUAAAAAGUGCAGGAAAGAGCAGAAGUCACUUCGCGAGCGGAUCCACGUUAUAUGAACUAAUCCAGGAGGGAAGCGAUACGCUGCCAUCACUUCUCUUUUAUUGCUGCGAUUUCUCAAAAUCAGACCUCCUUUUGCUUAUGCAUGAUGGAGAUGAAGCCAUGGCCUGUUUGGUUCGUACUGAUGUUCAGCAGACUUAUCCAAGCAUCAGUCACUCAUAAAGACUUCUUCACAUCCACUGGCCAAAUGACGGAUCUUUUAUACACGGAGAAGGAUCUUGUGACGUCGCUAAAAGAUUAUGUUCAGGCUGAGGAGAACAAACUGGAGAAGAUCAAACGGUGGGCGAUCAAGCUUGACUCUCUGUCCUCCGCGGCCACGCAAGAUCCUGAAGGCUUUCUGGGACACCCUGUCAAUGCCUUUAAGCUGAUGAAGAGGCUCAACACGGAGUGGGCAGAGCUGGAGAGCCUAGUGCUUAAGGAUGUUACUCAUGGUUUUAUCUCUAACCUGACCAUCCAGCGGCAGUACUUCCCCAGUGAUGAGGACCAGACUGGUGCAGCCAAGGCCCUCCUAAGGCUGCAGGACACCUACCAGCUGGACACCAACACCAUCUCAACAGGGAAUUUGCCUGGAGUGACCCACAAGAGCAGUAUGACAGUAGAGGACUGUUUUGAACUGGGAAAAAUUGCCUAUUCAGAGGCGGACUACUAUCACACAGAACUUUGGAUGGCCCAGGCGCUCAGGCAACUGGACCAGGGUGAGGAGUCUACUAUCGACAAGGUGGAUGUGCUGGAUUAUCUCAGCUAUGCCAUCUACCAGCAGGGGGAGCUGGAGAGGGCCCUUGAGCUCACCAAGAGGCUGCUCAAAAUAGAUCCUGAGCACCAGCGUGCCAACAGUAACUUGAAGUACUUUGAAUACCAGCUGGAGAAACAGAAACGGGCAGAGGCCAAGGAGGAGAGCAACGGGCAGGAGAAAAGAGAUUCGGCUAAAAAGAGCAGGUCCAUAGCCCCUCUCCCAGAGAGGAAGAAGUACGAGCAGCUGUGUCGUGGAGAGGGUGUCAGAUUGACACCUCGCAGGCAAAGCCGCCUCUUCUGUCGUUACUUUGACAACAACCGGAAGCCGCUCUACCUGAUUGGGCCAGUGAAGCAGGAGGACGAAUGGGAUCGCCCGCGCAUCGUCCGCUACCAUGACAUCAUCUCUGACAGCGAAAUGAAGAAGGUCAUGGAGCUGGCAAAGCCAAGGCUACGCAGGGCCACCAUCUCCAACCCAAUCACUGGUGUUCUGGAGACUGCCCACUACAGGAUCAGCAAGAGUGCCUGGCUGACUGGCUAUGAGGACCCAGUGAUCACAAAGAUUAACCAGCGAAUUGAGGCCAUCACAGGCCUUGAUGUGGAAACUGCAGAGGAACUGCAGGUUGCAAAUUAUGGUGUUGGUGGGCAAUAUGAACCACACUUUGAUUUUGGUCGGAAAGAUGAGCCAGAUGCCUUUAAGGAGCUGGGGACUGGGAAUCGCAUCGCUACCUGGCUUUUUUUAGAUGAGCGACGUAAUGGCUGGAGGCGCCACAGUCUUCCCCGAUGUGGGGGCUGCAGUGUGGCCAAAGAAGGGUACCGCGGUAUUCUGGUAUAAUCUGUUCGCCAGCGGGGAAGGAGACUACAGCACGCGACAUGCAGCCUGUCCUGUGCUUGUAGGCAACAAAUGGGUAUCCAAUAAAUGGAUUCAUGAGCGUGGCCAGGAGUUCAGACGACCAUGUGGUCUAAGUGAAGCGGAAUGAUAAGCGAUUCCUGAGGCGAUUCCCACCCCUUCCUCACAGUACCCAGGACACUAGCUCCUUUUUUCCACUCCGCAGAGACAUGAUGUGAAGCUGCCUUCCCAAAUUCCCUCCCUGUCUGCGAGCAGAAUCAGCCCUCUGGUCCUUAGCCUAUCCUGUCUACUCUUUUGCUGCUAAGAACUUUAUAAAUGUGGAUUCUGCCUUGGCAGCCUCUUUGCAUUUGGGGUUAUGUUUGUCUACACUGAUUUUUACCGGCUGCCUAAAAGACUACGUACGGUGGUGUGUAUUGAGCCUUAUUAUCUUCCCAGUGAUGCAGCACAAUCUGGAGGAGAGACGAUCACUUCCACUUGCAUAAGGCCCAAAUCCUGCCAACAUUUUUCAGUCUUCCUAUGCACCUCUCCCACAGAUGGCCCUGCUUUCAAGGGCUUAUAGGUUUUAGGACUCAUGAUGCAAUGUUCUCCCAGGGAAUAACACUGCAAAUUAUAUAAUAACAUGCACAGUUUUUUUUUUUAACUUUGCUGUACAAAUUCAAAGCUUGUUAGCACAUUUUGAAUUUCAGAGAUUGAUUAGAAUACCAAUACUUUUAAUCCCCAUGCAGAAAUUCUCUCUAUUUUUUUUUUUUGCCCCAUCUUGUUCUCCGUACAGGUGAGAGCAAGCUUAGGGGUCACAGCAAGGGGGGGCAGCCUGGUGGUGCCCAGGGAGUUGGGGGUUACUGGCCUUGAUUAGGGGCCCACAGACAUGUGGCAAUUCUGCCAAAGUUGGGCUCAAACAGACGGAGGCUUAGCUCACUGAGCAACUCAUUGCCCCCCAAAGUAGUCUGUCAAAAACAUUAAAACAGUUCUUUCAGAAAGUGUUUCUUUACUGGACCAUUCAACUGACUAUGUUGUAAAAAUCUGCAUAUUUAUGCAUUUUUUAGCAAUAAUUCCAAAAGGAUUUUUCAUUGUGUUUCACUACUUUAGUUACCCACAAAUCCAGUAUUGUUACUUCUUAGUAAAAAGUCAUGAAAAGUUAUCAAAAGAUUAUCUGAAACACACCUUCCAUUUCAUAUACCCAUACUGAUUUUGGGGCUCUUCAUCAUCUGGAAUUUCCUGGGAUCUCUGUGGGAGAAAGAUUCUAUUUAUAUAUUGUGAGAUUCUGUCAUUUAAUUUGUUUGCAUAUCGCUGGACAUGUUAAAUGAGUGUUUUCUAUAAAAUAAAUAACAUGUGCUCAUGA